UGUGUGUGUGUGUGUGUGUGUGUGUGUGUGUGUAAGACGGUGCAUAAAUAAUGGUCAUUACAUAUUUUUCUUUAUUGUUGUAAAUUUGACUUACAGCUGUUUCCGGUAGUCAUUAUAGGUUCGUUAUUGAUAGGUUUUACACAAUCGGUUCAUUGUUCGG